GACGAACGCUGGCGGCGUGCCUAAUACAUGCAAGUAGAACGCUGAAGGAGGAGCUUGCUUCUCUGGAUGAGUUGCGAACGGGUGAGUAACGCGUAGGUAACCUGCCUGGUAGCGGGGGAUAACUAUUGGAAACGAUAGCUAAUACCGCAUAAUAGUAGAUGUUGCAUGACAUUUGCUUAAAAGGUGCAAUUGCAUCACUACCAGAUGGACCUGCGUUGUAUUAGCUAGUUGGUGAGGUAACGGCUCACCAAGGCAACGAUACAUAGCCGACCUGAGAGGGUGAUCGGCCACACUGGGACUGGGACACGGCCCAGACUGCUACGGGAGGCAGCAGUAGGGAAUCUGCGGCGAUGGACGGAAGUCUGACCGAGCAACGCCGCGAGAGUGAAGAAGGUUUUCGGAUCGUAAAGCUCUGUUGUAAGAGAAGAAAGAGUGUGAGAGUGGAAAGUUCACGCUGUGACGGUAACUUACCAGAAAGGGACGGCUAACUACGUG
rnacentral:rRNA from 1 species